rnacentral:rRNA from 1 species
UACGUAGGGGGCAAGCGUUGUCCGGAGUUACUGGGCGCAAAGCGCACGCAGGCGGUCUCUUAAGUUUGGAGUGACAGUUGGUGGCUUAACUGCCAAAGUGCUUCGAAAACUGAGAGACUUGAGGGCUUCAGAGGGACACGGAAUUCCGGGUGGAGUGGUGAAAUGCGUAGAGAUCCGGAGGAAUACCAAAGGCGAAGGCAGUGUCCUGGGGAGUACCUGACGCUCAGGUGCGAAAGCCAGGGGAGCGAACGGG